rnacentral:rRNA from 1 species
ACAACGGCUGGCGGCAUGCCUAAUACAUGCAAGUCGAGCGAAUGAAUGAAGAAGCUUGCUUCUCUGAUUUAGCGGCGGACGGGUGAGUAACACGUGGGCAACCUACCCUAUAGAUUGGGAUAACACAGGGAAACCUGUGCUAAUACCGAAUAAUACCUUUCUCUUCAUGGAGGAUGGUUGAAAGAUGGUUUCGGCUAUCACUAUAGGAUGGGCCCGCGGCGCAUUAGCUAGUUGGUGAGGUAAUGGCUCACCAAGGCAACGAUGCGUAGCCGACCUGAGAGGGUGAUCGGCCACACUGGGACUGAGACACGGCCCAGACUCCUACGGGAGGCAGCAGUAGGGAAUCUUCCACAAUGGGCGAAAGCCUGAUGGAGCAAUGCCGCGUGAGUGAUGAAGGAUUUCGGUUCGUAAAACUCUGUUGUAAGGGAAGAACAAGUAGCGUAGUAACUGGCGUUACCUUGACGGUACCUUAUUAGAAAGCCACGGCUAACUACGUGCCAGCAGCCGC